rnacentral:piRNA from 1 species
UCAGUCAGAAUCCCUCAGGGCCACAGAGAA